rnacentral:rRNA from 1 species
GUCCACGCCGUAAACUAUGGGUGCUAGCCGUCGGAUAGCUUGCUAUUCGGUGGCGCAGCUAACGCAUUAAGCACCCCGCCUGGGGAGUACGGCCGCAAGGUUAAAACUCAAAGGAAUUGACGGGGGCCCCGCACAAGCGGUGGAGCAUGUGGUUUAAUUCGACGCAACGCGAAGAACCUUACCAGCUCUUGACAUUUCCUGACUGUUUCCAGAGAUGGAUUCGUCCCAGCAAUGGGCAGGAGGACAGGUGCUGCAUGGCUGUCGU